rnacentral:rRNA from 1 species
AGUGAACGCUGGCGGUAGGCCUAACACAUGCAAGUCGAACGGCAGCACAGUAAGAGCUUGCUCUUACGGGUGGCGAGUGGCGGACGGGUGAGGAAUACAUCGGAAUCUACUUUUUCGUGGGGGAUAACGUAGGGAAACUUACGCUAAUACCGCAUACGACCUACGGGUGAAAGCAGGGGAUCUUCGGACCUUGCGCGAUUGAAUGAGCCGAUGUCGGAUUAGCUAGUUGGCGGGGUAAGGGCCCACCAAGGCGACGAUCCGUAGCUGGUCUGAGAGGAUGAUCCGCCAAACUGGAACUGAGACACGGUCCAGGCUCCUACGGGAGGCAGCAGUGGGGAAUAUUGGACAAUGGGCGCAAGCCUGAUCCAGCCAUACCGCGUGGGUGAAGAAGGCCUUCGGGUUGUAAAGCCCUUUUGUUGGGAAAGAAAAGCAGCAGGUUAAUACCCCGCUGUUCUGACGGUACCCAAAGAAUAAGCACCGGCUAACUUCGUG